GGGCCGUGAGAUGACAGGAACAUAAUCUAUGCAUUAAAACCACUUAAUAAGUUAAAGUGGUUUUGAAGUGUAAACUGACCCUUUAACUGAUAUAGAUAUGGAAAAAACGGCCUUGAAAUGUUUUACUGAAGGAAAUUUGGUAUCUUCAAAUUAAACAUGCAUAAGAAAAAAAGAAAGUGGUUAGAAAAGAUUCAGCAGAUAACAGA